UUGUCGAAGAUGCGACGGUGCUACGCUGUUAGAACAAUUCAUCGGAGCAUUCAAGUGUUACCUAUUAUAAGCUGCCAAAAGACCAAGCAGUGCGAAGCUCUUGGCUGACAGUGGUGCCUGCUAAUUUCCACUGCAAGGAUUUCGUCCACGAAUGUUAUCAUAGGUUACGCGCGACUUCAGAGGCAAUUUGGAAUCUCGGCACGAAAUCGUCUGAUGAAAAUCUGAGGUGCCCGACGCACAACAUUUUGAACGUGCCACGGAGGAUCAAGGCAAAAAAACGAGAGCAAAAAAGGUGCACGCUGAAGGCGGAAAUGAAGCAUGAUCUGGCUUGCAUCUGGUGCAUGAAGAAAUUGCUGACACGUUAGUUGCAGUCUACCUCCACCAACAGGGUGGAAAACAAAGGUCACCAUUCCGAUUAGCUGCUAUCUCCCAGUUCAAGCACUUUUGCUGUCUGGACACUGGUUCCUGUGGAUGGGGUGUUACAAGCUUCACUGUCUGAUA